GGGAAGCGGCGAACGGGUGAGUAACACGUAGGUGAUCUGCCCAUCAGACGGGGACAACGAUUGGAAACGAUCGCUAAUACCGGAUAGGACGAAAGUUUAAAGAUGCUCCUGGCAUCACUGAUGGAUGAGCCUGCGGCGCAUUAGCUAGUUGGUGGGGUAAAGGCCUACCAAGGCGACGAUGCGUAGCCGACCUGAGAGGGUGAACGGCCACACUGGGACUGAGACACGGCCCAGACUCCUACGGGAGGCAGCAGUAGGGAAUCUUCGGCAAUGGGCGAAAGCCUGACCGAGCAACGCCGCGUGAAUGAAGAAGGUCUUCGGGUUGUAAAAUUCUGUUAUAAGGGAAGAAAGGUGAUAGGAGGAAAUGACUAUCAAUUGACGGUACCUUAUGAGAAAGCCACGGCUAACUACGUGCCAGCAGCCGCGGUAAUACGUAGGUGGCAAGCGUUAUCCGGAAUUAUUGGGCGUAAAGAGCGCGCAGGUGGUUAAUUAAGUCUGAUGUGAAAGCCCACGGCUUAACCGUGGAGGGUCAUUGGAAACUGGUUGACUUGAGUGCAGAAGAGGGAAGUGGAAUUCCAUGUGUAGCGGUGAAAUGCGUAGAGAUAUGGAGGAACACCAGUGGCGAAGGCGGCUUCCUGGUCUGCAACUGACACUGAG
rnacentral:rRNA from 1 species